GAUGAAGAACGCAGCGAAAUGCGAUAAGUAAUGUGAAUUGCAGAAUUCAGUGAAUCAUCGAAUCUUUGAACGCACAUUGCGCCCGGCAGUAAUCUGCCGGGCAUGCCUGUCCGAGCGUCAUUUCUGCCCUCGAGCGAGUCCAGCAUCUAGGUGCUGGGCCCGCCCGGCGUUGGGGCACUACGGGAAGCCCUGUGCUGUCCCCCGUAGGCCCCGAAAUGAAGUGGCGGUCCUGCCGCGGCGCCCCCUGCGUAGUAUAACAGCUCGCUUCGGGACCCGGUAGAGGCCUGCCGUCAAACCUUACUCUCUAAGUUUGACCUCGGAUCAGGUAGGGUUACCCGCUGAACUUAAGCAUAUCAAUAAGCGGAGGA
rnacentral:misc_RNA from 1 species